UGCANAAUUCANUGAAUCAUCGAAUCUGUUGCAAGCGCAGCACUGUGCGCCCUUUGGUCAUUCCGAUACGGAGCACACCCGUUUGANUGUCGUGACAUUCUCACAAACCUUCAUUGGUUUCUCGACUGAAAAGGCUUUGGACUUUGGAGGCUUAUUGCUGAACCUUCCCUUGNUGAAGACCAGCUCCUCUAGANAUGAAUUAAUGGGGUCUGCUUUGCUGAUGCNUCUGACGUGAUAACGAUGCUUCUACGUACUUGGGUUUUGCACUGUCUUGCUCUAGAUCCUGCUUCUAACUGUCUUAUAGAAGACAAAUGGUCGACUUGACCCACAAACCUUGACCUCAAAUCGGGUGAGACUACCCGCUGAACUUAAGCAUAUCAAUAAG
rnacentral:rRNA from 1 species